rnacentral:rRNA from 1 species
GCCCAGCCGUAAUACACAAUUAAAUUACCAAUUGUCCGCCAAACAACUACGAGUUAUACUUAAAACUUAAAAGACUUGACGGUACUUCACCACAACCUAGAGGAGCCUGUCUAAUAACCGAUAAUCCACGAUUAAUCUCACCCUUUCUUGCCCAACAGUCUAUAUACCGCCGUCGCCAGCUUACCUUGUAAAAGAAAUAAAGUAAGCCAAACAGUACUACACUAAAACGACAGGUCGAGGUGUAACCAAUGAAAGGGGCUAAGGAUGGGCUACAUUCUCCAACCGAGAAUACGAACAGCACUAUGAAACAAGUGCCCGAAGGCGGAUUUAGCAGUAAGAUAAGAAUAAAACACUUAACUGAACACAACGCAAUGAAGUGCGUACACACCGCCCGUCAUCCCUGUCACCAA